AGUGAACGCUGGCGGUAGGCCUAACACAUGCAAGUCGAACGGCAGCACAGUAAGUGCUUGCUCUUACGGGUGGCGAGUGGCGGACGGGUGAGGAAUACAUCGGAAUCUACUUUUUCGUGGGGGAUAACGAAGGGAAACUUACGCUAAUACCGCAUACGACCUACGGGUGAAAGCAGGGGAUCUUCGGACCUUGCGCGAUUGAAUGAGCCGCUGUCGGAUUAGCUAGUUGGCGGGGAAAAGGCCAACAAAGGCGACGAUCCGUAGCUGGUCUGAGAGGGUGAUCAGGCACACGGGCACUGAGACAGGGUCCAGACUCCGACGGUAGGCAGCAGUGGGGAAUAUUGGACAAUGGGCGCAAGCCUGAUCCAGCCAUACCGCGUGGGUGAAGAAGGCCUUCGGGUUGGAAAGCCCUGUUGUUGGGAAAGAAAAGCAGCAGGUUAAUACCCCGCGGUUCUGACGGUACCCAAAGAAUAAGCACCGGCUAACUUCGUG
rnacentral:rRNA from 1 species